UACAGAUUUCUUCGGAAUGAAGUUUUAGUGACUGAGUGGCGGACGGGUGAGUAACGCGUGGGUAACCUGCCUCACACAGGGGGAUAACAGUUGGAAACGGCUGCUAAUACCGCAUAAGCGCACAGUACCGCAUGGUACAGUGUGAAAAACUCCGGUGGUGUGAGAUGGACCCGCGUCUGAUUAGCUAGUUGGCAGGGCAACGGCCUACCAAGGCGACGAUCAGUAGCCGACCUGAGAGGGUGACCGGCCACAUUGGGACUGAGACACGGCCCAAACUCCUACGGGAGGCAGCAGUGGGGAAUAUUGCACAAUGGGGGAAACCCUGAUGCAGCGACGCCGCGUGAGCGAAGAAGUAUUUCGGUAUGUAAAGCUCUAUCAGCAGGGAAGAAGAAAUGACGGUACCUGACUAAGAAGCACCGGCUAAAUACGUGCCAGCAGCCGCGGUAAUACGUAUGGUGCAAGCGUUAUCCGGAUUUACUGGGUGUAAAGGGAGCGCAGGCGGAAGGCUAAGCCUGAUGUGAAAGCCCGGGGCUCAACCCCGGUACUGCAUUGGAAACUGGUCAUCUAGAGUGUCGGAGGGGUAAGUGGAAUUCCUAGUGUAGCGGUGAAAUGCGUAGAUAUUAGGAGGAACACCAGUGGCGAAGGCGGCUUACUGGA
rnacentral:rRNA from 1 species